GGUUAAGCGACUAAGCGUACACGGUGGAUGCCCUGGCAGUCAGAGGCGAUGAAGGACGUGCUAAUCUGCGAAAAGCGUCGGUAAGGUGAUAUGAACCGAUACAGCCGGCGAUGUCCGAAUGGGGAAACCCAGUGCAAUUCGUUGCACUAUCGUUAACUGAAUACAUAGGUUAACGAGGCGAACCGGGGGAACUGAAACAUCUAAGUACCCCGAGGAAAAGAAAUCAACCGA
rnacentral:rRNA from 1 species